UUAUGGGUUGCAUAAAUACAUAUCUAUUAUGGAUAAAAUGGUGUGUGGAACAUACAAGCAAAACAAGUUUCUUGGGUGGUUCAAAGAAUCUUGAAAGCUACUCAAUAUGUUCAAGAAGCUGGUUAUAUUGAGGCAUGUAUAAAAGACAUGAAAAAAAUACCAUAUUGGCAAAGUGUUUAUGCUGAGGAGUACAAUAGAG
rnacentral:lncRNA from 1 species